AGGUUCCCAGGAGACGACUGGGUUGAUAGGCCGGAUCUGGAAGCGUAGUAAUGCGUGGAGGUGACUGGUACUAAUUGGCCGAUAAACACCAACAC
rnacentral:rRNA from 1 species